rnacentral:rRNA from 1 species
AGCCCGCUCGCCGGAAGACCAAGGGUUCCUGUCCAACGUUAAUCGGGGCAGGGUGAGUCGACCCCUAAGGCGAGGCCGAAAGGCGUAGUCGAUGGGAAACAGGUUAAUAUUCCUGUACUUGGUGUUACUGCGAAGGGGGGACGGAGAAGGCUAUGUUGGCCGGGCGACGGUUGUCCCGGUUUAAGCGUGUAGGCUGGUUUUCCAGGCAAAUCCGGAAAAUCAAGGCUGAGGCGUGAUGACGAGGCACUACGGUGCUGAAGCAACAAAUGCCCUGCUUCCAGGAAAAGCCUCUAAGCAUCAGGUAACAUCAAAUCGUACCCCAAACCGACACAGGUGGUCAGGUAGAGAAUACCAAGGCGCUUGAGAGAACUCGGGUGAAGGAACUAGGCAAAAUGGUGCCGUAACUUCGGGAGAAGGCACGCUGAUACGUAGGUGAAGUCCCUUGCGGAUGGAGCUGAAAUCAGUCGAAGAUACCAGCUGGCUGCAACUGUUUAUUAAAAACACAGCACUGUGCAAACACGAAAGUGGACGUAUACGGUGUGACGCCUGCCCGGUGCCGGAAGGUUAAUUGAUGGGGUUAGCGGUAACGCGAAGCUCUUGAUCGAAGCCCCGGUAAACGGCGGCCGUAACUAUAACGGUCCUAAGGUAGCGAAAUUCCUUGUCGGGUAAGUUCCGACCUGCACGAAUGGCGUAAUGAUGGCCAGGCUGUCUCCACCCGAGACUCAGUGAAAUUGAACUCGCUGUGAAGAUGCAGUGUACCCGCGGCAAGACGGAAAGACCCCGUGAACCUUUACUAUAGCUUGACACUGAACAUUGAGCCUUGAUGUGUAGGAUAGGUGGGAGGCUUUGAAGUGUGGACGCCAGUCUGCAUGGAGCCGACCUUGAAAUACCACCCUUUAAUGUUUGAUGUUCUAACGUUGGCCCCUAAUCGGGGUUGCGGACAGUGUCUGGUGGGUAGUUUGACUGGGGCGGUCUCCUCCUAAAGAGUAACGGAGGAGCACGAAGGUUGGCUAAUCCUGGUCGGACAUCAGGAGGUUAGUGCAAUGGCAUAAGCCAGCUUGACUGCGAGCGUGACGGCGCGAGCAGGUGCGAAAGCAGGUCAUAGUGAUCCGGUGGUUCUGAAUGGAAGGGCCAUCGCUCAACGGAUAAAAGGUACUCCGGGGAUAACAGGCUGAUACCGCCCAAGAGUUCAUAUCGACGGCGGUGUUUGGCACCUCGAUGUCGGCUCAUCACAUCCUGGGGCUGAAGUAGGUCCCAAGGGUAUGGCUGUUCGCCAUUUAAAGUGGUACGCGAGCUGGGUUUAGAACGUCGUGAGACAGUUCGGUCCCUAUCUGCCGUGGGCGCUGGAGAACUGAGGGGGGCUGCUCCUAGUACGAGAGGACCGGAGUGGACGCAUCACUGGUGUUCGGGUUGUCAUGCCAAUGGCACUGCCCGGUAGCUAAAUGCGGAAGAGAUAAGUGCUGAAAGCAUCUAAGCACGAAACUUGCCCCGAGAUGAGUUCUCCCUGACUCCUUGAGAGUCCUGAAGGAACGUUGAAGACGACGACGUUGAUAGGCCGGGUGUGUAAGCGCAGCGAUGCGUUGAGCUAACCGGUACUAAUGAACCGUGAGGCUUAACCUU